CACAAAAAGGAUAACAACGAAAACUGCUGGAGAGAUCAGUUUCUCUCUUUUCUUCUUGGGAAAAGUUUAAAACCCAUCUAAAUUCAUUGAAUGAUGACCAGAUUGAAGAACCAUAGAUUCUUCUAGUAUUUCCAUUGAUAUGAAUGAUAGGAAAUUUGUAUAAAUGAUGACCAUAUUGAAGAACCACCAACGCCGAUUGCAGAUUGUAAAAGAAGACGAUCCACUCCGUGGUUGUAGGCAUGAAAUCUGAAGUUUGUCACAUAGAAAACAGGAGCGAUGUAGUACACUAACACUGCGAAUGCAAGAAGAGACUCAUGUGAAAGUCGUGUAAACAAGGGGCAUUCAGAUGCACAAAGUUGUAUUUGAGGAAGAUGCACCUCGUGAUGGAACUGCUUUACUUUUUACGUUUCGCAACCAGCGACACAGACGCAGAAAACAUAAAAAUUAAAGUUGGCUUAGAGGCUGAUUUUGAAUUUUAAUUUGGAUAUAAGGUUGAGCAACAGAAUCUUGAGAGAACAAAUCCUAACAAAUGGUUAUCGCCAUGCCAAACAGUACAACAUUAGAAGUGCAGAGCAAGGUUGAUGUCGGAGGUUACAUGGCGUCGGCUCAGCCAACCGGUGCCGAUGAUAGCCGAACACUUUUAAUUGAAGAUCUGCGGUUUUGGAUGGAUGAAUAAUAUCUGUAUAGCUGCUUUGCAAAUAUUGCAAAUGUACUAAAAUUUCUGAAAUAAAUUAUUGUUGCUGAGUGUUUUAAUAUGUAAAAAUGUAUCUUAGGGAGAAGAAUAG